rnacentral:rRNA from 1 species
UUAAUUCGAUGCAACGCGAAGAACCUUACCUACUCUUGACAUCCAGAGAACAUUCCAGAGAUGGAUUGGUGCCUUCGGGAACUCUGAGACAGGUGCUGCAUGGCUGUCGUCAGCUCGUGUUGUGAAAUGUUGGGUUAAGUCCCGCAACGAGCGCAACCCUUAUCCUUUGUUGCCAGCGAUUUGGUCGGGAACUCAAAGGAGACUGCCGGUGAUAAACCGGAGGAAGGUGGGGAUGACGUCAAGUCAUCAUGGCCCUUACGAGUAGGGCUACACACGUGCUACAAUGGCGUAUACAGAGGGAAGCGAUAGUGCGAGCUGGAGCGAAUCUCACAAAGUACGUCUAAGUCCGGAUUGGAGUCUGCUAACUCGACUCCAUGAAGUCGAAUCGCUAGUAAUCGCAAAUCAGAAUGUUG